rnacentral:lncRNA from 1 species
AAUCUACUUAUACAUGCACAGCGGAAUUUAAAAUAAUUUUCGAUUCUCACCAAGAAUCGCCUUUGUGUUUAGAUAGAAAUUGUGAUAAGAUUAUACCUUUUCCAGAUCUGCAAUCCUUUUGCUUUUCUUUUCGUUCCACAACUUUGAUUCGCCACCACAGCUGUCCAAUUGUCCAGCCUCCAACGGUGAUCCACACAGAGAAUAUAAUUGCAGCAUCUAGGGUUUUUCUUGUGCCAGCAAGAAUAAUGAAAACCUUCAUGGACCUCAAACCCUAAUUAUGUAUUUAUAUAAAUCCAAACAGGCUCGGCCCGGUCCGGUCCAAUAAUUAAUUAAUCCAAUUAAUUAAACCCGGUCCGUGAAUUAAUUAAUCCAAUUAAUUAAUUCGAAAAAAUAAAUAACAAAUCCUAUUAAUUAAUUUAUCCAACGAUUGUUAAAUUAACCAAUUGGCAAUUUGCAAUCUUCCAAUUCUCUUUUGUGUGUGACCCAUUAGGUUCCCGACCACGAUGUCUAACGACGUGAAAUAUUAUUUUG